rnacentral:rRNA from 1 species
AGAGUUGAUCAUGGCUCAGGAUGAACGCUAGCGACAGGCUUAACACAUGCAAGUCGAGGGGCAGCAUAAAAGUAGCAAUACUUGGUGGCGACCGGCGCACGGGUGAGUAACGCGUAUGCAACCUACCUAUCAGAGGGGAAUAACCCGGCGAAAGUCGGACUAAUACCGCAUAAAACAGGGGCACCGCAUGGUGAUAUUUGUUAAAGAAAUUCGCUGAUAGAUGGGCAUGCGUUCCAUUAGGUAGUUGGUGAGGUAACGGCUCACCAAGCCGACGAUGGAUAGGGGAACUGAGAGGUUGGUCCCCCACACUGGUACUGAGACACGGACCAGACUCCUACGGGAGGCAGCAGUGAGGAAUAUUGGUCAAUGGGCGGGAGCCUGAACCAGCCAAGUCGCGUGAAGGAAGAAGGAUCUAUGGUUCGUAAACUUCUUUUGCAGGGGAAUAAAGUGCAGGACGUGUCCUGUUUUGUAUGUACCCUGAGAAUAAGGAUCGGCUAACUCCGUGCCAGCCGCUGC